AGCACAUAGUAUAAAAUAAUGAAUGUACUGAUUCAGAAAACAUGCUCUACAGCAUUAGGCACGGUUGCAGCCCGAAGUUAAAGAAGCAGGAAAAAGCGAAAUAGAUGCAUGCAACAGAGUGGGGGUGACUUUAGCGUCUAACGUCAACAGCAAGGUUUGAUUUUAAUGUCCGGUUUGGCAGGCGAGCCGGCAACACUCGGUGCGAUUAAGAGGUCCUUUCAAAGUGUACCUGUGCACAGCGCUUGCUGUGCUAUUCAAACCCGGCCCUCGCUAUCGCAACAACUUGGCAAGCCUCCCUUUAAAUCGACGGGGAGUAAAGGAUACUCUAAGACUGUAUGGCGGAUUUUUCUGUGUAUGGAAACCUGUUGUUUUUGCAAAUUAGAAACGGAUGCACACUUCAGUAAAACCCAAAAAAAAAAAAAAAAAAAAACUCUCAUUGAAAAUAUUUAUACGGAUCACGCCUUACUCGACAAAAUCACUAGUCCGGAUUGAUGGGAGGCGGUCUGCUAGAGAUGAAUAGAAAGUGAUGUCGUGCUUCUCCCCCAGUACGAGCGGCUCAAGGGAAGGGAUUUCGAGAAAUGUCACUGUUGUGGUGGAGGGGAGGAGGAGGAGAAAGGGGCCGUUCAAACGAUCACAGCGCAUCAGGAUCAAAGCCCAGCAACAUGAAAUACCACAGCCACGAAAGAGAGGAAACAAGCUAGAGGUGAAUCAGUAAGGACUGGACACCAAACCCCAGUCACCAAGAAAGUGGAGGGUCUACUUCAUUAACCAGGGUUGUCAAUCCAAAAUCCAAUUGGAACAUUUCUACACUACGUGGCCCUUGGGCUCCUGCUCUUUCUUUCAGUGUCCAGUGGGGUACCGGCAUGGCUCGUUCUCAGUGGGAUAUGGGCCGGUCCCACAGAAAAUGUGCAGUUGGCUGUGCUGUGACUAUGGGACACUUUUAUAAGAGAUAACUCACACAUGGGUUUCAGCUGGCCGAUCAGCUCCUCCUUGGUCCAUUUGGCCCACUCCUUCUUGUCUGUGUUGAUGGAGCACAGGAUGGGGCCGCAUGGCUUCCCACAGUCCUCUAUGGCAGGGACGUUCAGAGCUGCCAGCGUCCCGUGGAGCGUGUGGUGCCACGCUGAGAAGGGCGACGGGGCCAUCAUGGCGGGACAGCCGGACGCAACCUGACAUGAGUUUGUCAGUCGCCUCUUGUGCAGAAAACAGGAGGUUGUCUUUUAUAUCAAACCCCACUGGCAGAAAGGACCGUCCAGUGGGGAAUUGCUGGGGCCUCUGUCUCUCUGCCAAACAGAUAAAACAGAGCAAAGAACAAAACUAGCAUCGCCCGUCGUCCCUCUCUCUUUCUUUCUCUCUCUCUCGUCCCCUCCCUCCUCUGUCUCCAUGCUGUCGACACAGGAAGAUUUGAUCUACAGACAAAUAUGCUUUUCAUUCACAGCUGACUAGGUCAUUGCUCGCCAUACUUUGGGUUUAACCAUGCUGUGCUUUACAACACUGAACUGGGCUUUUACCACGGCUCUUCAAAUUUGUAAGGGGAGUGUAAAUGAAAUAAAUAAUUCGAUGAAGAUCUGUACCCUGAAUGAGUGGUUUUGGAGAAUGUUUGAUUCGCGGGGGCUGAUGCCCCGCUCUGCCACCAAAGCUACUCUAAGAGACCCCUCGGCUUGAGGCCAAAUGUGGGGCUGUCACUCUGGGCCGAUGCCAGCCGACCAGCUAGGCUGCUUGCCUGAGCCAGCGAGGGCUUCUCCGCUCCCACUGGCCCGUGCUGCCAGUCUCCAUGGAGAUGAGGUCAGAGUCAAGGCAACUGGAAAACCAAA